GUCAGCACCAACUACCAACAGCUAAUACCAUUGCAAACCCGACCCCAGCAAAAAGGGCAGCAACAAUCUCACAGCUACAGUCAUGGAGCAGUGUGCCUAACUAAAGUAACUUUGAAUGUGUUACCAUUGACCCCUUCACUGUGAUUUGAAGUAACACACCAACAAAUUUUGGUUCAUAUUUAGUAACCACAGUUUAUGUUUAAUAUCUGCGUCUGAAUCAACAAAUGACAGGUCCAACUCCUAUGAGGCAUCAGCCACAGGUCAAAAUACGUUCAACUAGUAUCC
rnacentral:lncRNA from 1 species